AGUGCCAAGAGCCAGGAACCAAGCAUUCAAAUGCAUGCUUGCAAGGGGCAUGUCAGGUUCAAAGCAUCGCAAGCACCUCUCAGGAGUGGCUUCCAAUACCUGAUACUUCAGUAGCUGUGAAAGACGUUUAAACUACGACGGACCCUGAGAAGCUGGAAUUCCCCUUAGGGAGCUCAUGUUGGGAAAGAAAAGGCUGAAGCCUGGUGCUAGCCAGAGGGAAACUGUGUCUCCCAGAGAAGAGAUUCCACGCAGUUCUAACAACUUGCCAGACCACCCUGCAGGCCUCUUCAGUAGCUGGGAUUGAAAGCCUGUGACAUUUUGAAGGUUCAAAUGGUGAAUGCCUUUGGCUUAUUUUAAUAAGUGCAACUGUAGUUUCAUAAG
rnacentral:lncRNA from 1 species